rnacentral:rRNA from 1 species
UACGUAGGGGGCAAGCGUUGUCCGGAUUUAUUGGGCGUAAAGGGCGCGUAGGCGGUCAGCACAAGUCAGUUGUGAAAUCUCCGGGCUUAACCCGGAACGGUCAACUGAUACUGUGCGACUAGAGUGCGGAAGGGGCAACUGGAAUUCUCGGUGUAGCGGUGAAAUGCGCAGAUAUCGGGAGGAACACCAAUGGCGAAGGCAGCUCGCUGGGACGGUACUGACGCUGAGGCGCGAAAGCGUGGGGAGCAAACAGG